GAGCCACGGGUCACAUCCUUCCUCGUCCAACGACGAAGAGAUCAACGAUUCACGAGCAUGGAAGGCAUGUUCACCGCCGACGAGAUGGUUGCACAUGGUAGUUUGUUCUGCAACUUCUAUCUUCUACAAGAAACACCAAGAACCAAUACUUCAAGGGAGUAUGUAAAUAUUUUCAUUUUGGUGCUGCAAAAAUACACAGUGAAGUUGUUUGCUAGAUUAACGUCCAUAGAAGAGGACU